rnacentral:tRNA from 1 species
GGCGGAUGUAGCCAAGUGGACAAGGCAG